ensembl:lncRNA
AAUAGCAUCUCCCUUUCCUCUGGGGAACUUACCUUUUCCUCCUUGUCGUCUUGGAAGGCCAGUGAUUGAGGUGCCCUUUCUUCUUGCUCAGGAAGCUGGCAGGACUUGGGUUGCUCUUUAUGAUAGAUCUCUCUUGCUGCUCUGUUGCGGCAGAAGGGGUACAUUUGUGAUCUCAUCUGAGCCAAUCAGUUCUCCCUCCCACCAUUUUGGAUCCCCAGUAGAGGGUCAGACUGAUGGAAGGAAUGGCUGGAGAAGAAUCAUUCCAGCGCUGGUAUUAGGUAGCACCGUGGUACUCUUCCCACUUCCAAUACUCUCUCUAGCACCCUCAUUCUCAUCCAUGCCAAGCCAGUCAUUUAAUAUCCCCUUUCAAUCUCUGAGCCCCCUCAUAUUAUUCUGAUCAGUUCACAUUUUGCUUAGAUUAAGAAGCAAAGGAGAUAAACAUGAAUCUCUUCCAGAAGACCCAGGAAAAAUACCAUUGCGACCUGAUGGCUCUGAUUGGGUCACAUAUUCAAGCAUGUAAAGUGUCCAGGACUUCUGUGUGUCCAGAACUCCCUUCUGCAGCAUGUGACAAAAACUGCCCUCCAACUUUGCUGACUUUGUCAGAAACAAAUAAAUCUUGAGGUUGGAACCCUCAAGAAUGGGAUCAGUGCCUUAGAAAAGAGGACCCAGAGAGAUCCCUACCCACCUCUGCCAUGUGAGGAUUCAACCAGAAGUCUGCAGCCUGAAAGAGGGCCCUCACGUGACUGUGCUGACAUCCUGGUCUCACCCAGCCUCCAUAACUGUGAGAAAUAAAUUUCGAUUGUUCGUAAGAUACCCAUUCUGUUGUGUUUUGUCACAGCAGCCCAAACAGACUAACACAGUUUAACUUCAGGUAUUUAACUUUCUAUAGGACAUAUUAUUUAUCUUAGCGGUAAGCAUAUCUGUGGAGAGAACUUUCUGAAGCAUCAGGCAACAAGCUGGUUUCUUUGCCCAGCAUAAGGUUAUCAACUUCCUUCUAACUAUUCUGUAUCAGAGAAAUGUGAAUGAGACCCUAUACUGAGACCCAAGAUAUUUUCAAUGAUCCAGAUGUCUGCAAUGACAUUGUUAAGACCUCAGGAUAUUUAACUGAACUUAAAAAACUGUCUGAAUAUUUUGGCACCAUGCAAACACCCACACAAAGAGUGUAGGUGAACAGGUGUGCCCAUGCAUACUCAAUAGCGUAUUGUCUGAGUGGGCUCGUCUGAAAGGCACAUCUCUUCUCAUAAGUAUAGCUAUGACAGAAAGCACUUCAAGUCUUUUCUCUCAGGCUAUCAUAGAAGAGCAAGUAGUUAUUUUCUAUUUGGAUUUGAAGGUAAUGAGAGUUUUUAUUAAUCCUAGUCAGAAACUGCAUCUUAAAAAUAAAAUUUCCUUUUAGACUAAAAAAAAGCCCAAAGUCCCCCACCCUCCUAAAACAAAAACCAGCUGUUCUUUGAAAAGCAGUAUUCUGUUGAUAGACUCAGUCCCUACAAGUCCACUUGCUAUAAGCAACACGGGGAAGCCACCUAGGAAAGGUGGCCUGCUCUCCACUUGACUGAUCAUAUUUCUUUCAGCAUCCUUAGUUCCACCAUUAAAUCAUAAGAGAAAUAAAAUAGUGAUGCAACGCAUACUCUGGGCGGCGUUAGUAAAACGUGAGAAUUAAAUGAGAACCAAGAGUAUUUGGAAGUAACUAGAGUUCCACCCCUGACUCACAUCCAGUCAACAUAAGUUCCACGUGGAUUUGACAUUUAAAGAUAAAAAAUGAAGUUGCAAAACCGUUUCCUACAAGAAAGUGUAGGUGCUUACUUACAUAGUUCUGGGGGGCCGAUCAUCGUAAGCACACAGAAAAGGGAGAAAUCAUAGCGAAAAAGAGCGAUAGAGGUAAGUACCUUAAGUACACACAGGUGUGCAUGCUCACACACAUGCACACACACAACUAUUUCUGGGUCUUAAAAAGCCAUUAAAAAAGGCAAAGAGAAGCUUAGAAAUAUAUAUCGCAAUUGCGAUAUAUAAUUGCAAAUAAAUAUGUAAUUGCAAAUUGGCAAUAUAUUCAUAUUCCCAAUUAUAAAUAGCUUGUCUUGGCCAAUGGAAAUAAGACAAACAUCUCUAAAACUGGGCAACUCCUAAACAGGAAAUGAAAUGACCAAUUGAGAGCAACAUAUUAUAGUAUUACUAGUAACUCAAUUGAAGGCAAAAGAGAUAUGAACUUUUACAUAAACACUAGCAAAAAUGGCCCAAAAAGAUUUUCAUUGUUAGUAUGAAAGGUGUAUAUUUUCAUGAGCUAGUGAGCAACUGAGCAAUGUGCUCUUUGCCUUACACGUGUGCAAACCCC